rnacentral:rRNA from 1 species
CUUGCUGGGUGGAUUAGUGGCGAACGGGUGAGUAACACGUGAGUAACCUGCCCUUGACUCUGGGAUAAGCCUGGGAAACUGGGUCUAAUACUGGAUAUGACUUCUCACCGCAUGGUGGGGGGUGGAAAGAUUUAUUGGUCUUGGAUGGACUCGCGGCCUAUCAGCUUGUUGGUGAGGUAAUGGCUCACCAAGGCGACGACGGGUAGCCGGCCUGAGAGGGUGACCGGCCACACUGGGACUGAGACACGGCCCAGACUCCUACGGGAGGCAGCAGUGGGGAAUAUUGCACAAUGGGCGCAAGCCUGAUGCAGCGACGCCGCGUGAGGGAUGACGGCCUUCGGGUUGUAAACCUCUUUCAGUAGGGAAGAAGCGAAAGUGACGGUACCUGCAGAAGAAGCGCCGGCUAACUACGUGCCAGCAGCCGCGGUAAUACGUAGGGCGCGAGCGUUAUCCGGAAUUAUUGGGCGUAAAGAGCUCGUAGGCGGUUUGUCGCGUCUGCCGUGAAAGUCCGGGGCUUAACCCCGGAUCUGCGGUGGGUACGGGCAGACUAGAGUGCAGUAGGGGAGACUGGAAUUCCUGGUGUAGCGGUGAAAUGCGCAGAUAUCAGGAGGAACACCGAUGGCGAAGGCAGGUCUCUGGGCUGUAACUGACGCUGAGGAGCGAAAGCAUGGGGAGCGAACAGGAUUAGAUACCCUGGUAGUCCAUGCCGUAAACGUUGGGCACUAGGUGUGGGGGACAUU